rnacentral:rRNA from 1 species
ACGAACGCUGGCGGCGCGCUUAACACAUGCAAGUCGAACGGAAAGGCCUGCUUUCCCUUGUGGAUUGCGGGUACUCGAGUGGCGAACGGGUGAGUAACACGUGAGUGAUCUGCCCCCAACUUGGGUAUAAGCCUGGGAAACUGGGUCUAAUUCCCGAUAGGACUGCAGGGUGGUGCCUGUGGUGGAAAACGAUUUUCUAGUGGUUGGGGAUGAGCUCGCGGCCUAUCAGCUUGUUGGUGGGGUAAUGGCCUACCAAGGCGGCGACGGGUAGCCGGCCUGAGAGGGUGGACGGCCACAUUGGGACUGAGAUACGGCCCAGACUCCUACGGGAGGCAGCAGUGGGGAAUAUUGCACAAUGGGCGGAAGCCUGAUGCAGCGACGCCGCGUGGGGGAUGACGGCCUUCGGGUUGUAAACUCCUUUCGACCGCGAGGAAGCCACCUGGUUGGAAGGGUGGUGACGGUAGUGGUAAAAGAAGCACCGGCUAACUACGUG